GGAUGUGAAGGCGAUCUGGCUGCGACAUUUGUCACCCCAUUGAUCACCAGGGUUGAUUCGGCUGAUCUGGCUGGCUAGGCGGGUGUCCCCUUCCUCCCUCACCACUCCAUGUGCAUCCCUCCCGAAGCUGCGCACUCGGACGAAGAGGACGACCUUCCCCGCUAGAGGAGGACCAGUCUUCGAUCAAGGGUAUACGAGUAGCUGCGCUCCCCUGCUAGAACCUCCAAACAAGCUCUCAAGAUUCCAAUUCCUGCACAUCACUGUCAUCAUUUAUUCAUUUUUUUUUAAGAUUUAUUUUAUUUAUUUGAAA
rnacentral:snRNA from 1 species